rnacentral:tRNA from 1 species
GGGAAGGUGGCUCAGUGGUAGAGCGCCUGCUUUCCAUGCAUGAGGCCCUGGGUUCAAUUCCUCAGCACCCCA